rnacentral:rRNA from 1 species
GACGAAGGAUGCAAGCGUUAUCCGGAUUCAUUGGGUUUAAAGGGAGCGUAGGUGGCCUUAUAAGUCAGUGGUGAAAUCUCUGGGCUUAACCCAGAAAUUGCCAUUGAUACUGUAGGGCUUGAGUAUAGAUGCCGUUGGCGGAAUAUGACAUGUAGUGGUGAAAUACAUAGAGAUGUCAUAGAACACCGAUUGCGAAGGCAGCUAACGAAACUAUAACUGACACUGAGGCUCGAAAGUGUGGGGAUCAA